CGAAAUUAUCGGUCACAGAGAAAACUGCUACUGCAAUUCGCAUAAAUACUCAACAUAAAACGAUUAUGCUUCUACACCGGACUACAUCCGAUAACCUGAAACAUGAACCGACAUAAAUAACUCAAAAUACAUUUUACGAAAUGUUUCUAACAUCGCACAUAAUCGACCAGAACGAAAUAGACGAAAAAUGAUUAAACACCCUGUGCUAUAAAAAGCUCCGCACUGAAUUACGCACACAUAUGAACACCCGUACAGCAGCGAUAGAAACGUCAAACGUAAAGUAAACAGUGAUUAAGAAGAGUGUGUUUUGUGCUACGGGAUAGUAAAUCGGAAAAACAGAAAACUAUGUUUUGAAGGACCAUAUCACCGCCUCCAUCGAUACCCGCGACGGAUGGAAUGGACUACCCGGGUACGAGUAGGAUCUGGAGGCGAAUAUAGAGAUGAACCGGACAUCGAAGGAAGAAAUGAACAGGAAAGAUGACUUCCAAUUACAGGUAAGAUUAUGAACAAGAACUAAUAUGGUUAUUUCUUAAUUUUUUUAGGAGAGCCGGACACUAGAAUAAGAUUUUGCUCCGAAGGGUGGCUGCAGCGGCUUGCUAGCAUGACGGCAGCGAGCCAUAAAUUCCAAACCAUAAACUUUCCAAAACAUAAAUUUUUCAACCCAGACAAAAAUUUCAGAAACUAACAAUAUUUCAUGCAAAAACAUGUACACUAACAUAAAUAAUUUACUAAAUAAACAAUUGAAUAAAUAACAGAUAAGAAAAUAAAUUAAUUAACCCUAAUUCAGCAAACCCAUAAACCUCUAAAUAAAUAUUUACUUAUAUCCUAAAUAUAAAUAAAUAAAUAAAUAACAUGCAAUUAAAUCUACUAUUUACAAAGUAAAUCGACUCACUAACUCAAAUAUUAAAUUUAAGUAGCAGGCCAAUUUGUAAAUGUACAUAGCGUUAGGUACUAACUUACACCUAAGACUCGAUGUAGUUGCACACACUAACAUUAUUGACGCCGAAAGGGAAAUUUUGCAUUCGCCUCGUUUUUUCCUUGCCCUUGAUUUGUCUAACGUCUUUUAGAAGUCUUUCCCUGGUAAAAUGAAGAAACUCUCUUCGUUUGAUGCUAACAUUCACCAAGAAUUCGUUGUCUGUGGACGAUUCUUGGUAAUAUGUUUCGCUUCAACUACUCAGAACAAUUUCUUCGUUCUAACUUCCCACUUUUCUAUUUCGACACAUUUCGUAAAGUUCCUCGAGCGUUGCAGCAUCAAGGAUCCCCCAGUAAAUAAAAGGGUUUUUGUGAGGGCCGCACUACUGUGCGCAGCCUUACGAAAUGGCAGAACAGUGUUUCUGCACCAGAGCUUUCGCAUCAUGGCUCAGUUGUCUCGACUCAAUUGAGCCUAUGUAUCGAAAAUGUUUGAAGAAUUUCAACAAAGUGAGGUUGAGAAUUGGAACAAAUUGUUACCAUUCUACACAAUCUUGAAAUUUUAGUGCGGCGAGUAUUUGUAGAACUGAGUCAUUACUUGACCCUGCGAAAUCAUCGCUUUGGGCUCACUUCUAAUUCGUGUUUCCACUACUUUCGACAGGUCAUUGCCCAGCUCCUUCUUUAACUUCAUACUCUGUUCUACGAGGCCAAUACUCUUACGAGCCACUUUGAUUGUGCAGAUUCAGCAACUUGCCCAAUGACCAUCGAGAAAGCGAAAGGAAGUUCGGUCCCUCACUUAUUUUAAAAUUGAAAAAGUUACUCCGUAGAGCUACACAGGUUUUGAAAAUCAAAAUUUAUCCUUGUCACUCCAGAUGCAUAGCUUAAAAAAAUCAAAUUUUAUUUUGUCACUCCGUAGAGUUACAUAGCUCGAAAAGAAAUCAAUUUCAUAUUGUCACUCCUUAGAGUUACAUAGCUGGAAAAUAAAUUUAUCAAAAUUCUGCAACGGUGGAAACGUUAGACUAA